GACGAACGCUGGCGGCGUGCUUAACACAUGCAAGUCGAGCGGUAAGGCCCUUUCGGGGGUACACGAGCGGCGAACGGGUGAGUAACACGUGGGUGACCUGCCCUCAGCCCUGGGAUAAGCCUGGGAAACCGGGUCUAAUACUGGAUAUGACUCCAUGACGCAUGUUGUGGGGUGGAAAGCCUUGUGCGGCUGAGGAUGGGCCCGCGGCCUAUCAGCUUGUUGGUGGGGUGANGGCCUACCAAGGCGACGACGGGUAGCCGGCCUGAGAGGGCGACCGGCCACACUGGGACUGAGACACGGCCCAGACUCCUACGGGAGGCAGCAGUGGGGAAUCUUGCGCAAUGGGCGAAGGCCUGACGCAGCGACGCCGCGUGAGGGAUGACGGCCU
rnacentral:rRNA from 1 species